UAAUUCCUCCACAAACAUCACACACCUGUCACUGUCACAUCGAGUUCUGGAUUCUGACUGGGACUCGUACAGCUGAUAUGGUGAAGUUUUCUGUAAGGAGAAAUGUGUUUAUGUAACAUGUACGGAAGGAGUCUCCAGUGUCAGCGCUGUGUAACAGUCAGAGGGCUGAAAAUGUUCCAGAUUUCUCCUCACAUACUCGUGUAGGAACUUGUCUUACGGACGUUAGCGUGUGUGUUCCCUCAUCUUUAUCUCCUGGUGACUCUUAAAGACGUUUAUAAACAUUUCGGUGUUGCUAAAGACUCAGAUGGAGUAAAAUAUAAACCAGCCACACACAAGUUCACGUCCAAUGUGAAUACCGCACGAGUGAAUCAGCGAGUGAAUCAUUUAGGAAAUGUACAAAUUUGUUCCACAGAGACUUUAAUCUGUUUUUU